rnacentral:misc_RNA from 1 species
GUUCAGCAGAAUCAAGCCCAAUGAAGAAACCAACAUUGGAUCCCUCACCAGACAAAGAUGGCAAUAACCAUUAGUGUUCCCAAAUCUGAAUGGUCCAUGCUUUGGUAUUUGUAGUCCAAACUAGCAAGUUUCAGCUUAUUCCUAUGUUACAAAGAUUUUAUCUGUUCUCGAUCGACCUCAUGCUGUUGUGUUUCGUUUCUCAAGUAAAAUCUUGUUAAGCCCCAAGCAGAAUAUAUUUUAUUAUGCUUGUUAUGGUGUGAAAUUAGCACAUUUAAUCAUACAAUGGUGC